UUUUAGUUUGCUUGCAAACUAAAGAUGGCGACCGGCGCACGGGUGAGUAACACGUAUCCAACCUGCCGAUAACUCGGGGAUAGCCUUUCGAAAGAAAGAUUAAUAUCCGAUGGUAUAUUAAAACCGCAUGGUUUUACUAUUAAAGAAUUUCGGUUAUCGAUGGGGAUGCGUUCCAUUAGUUUGUUGGCGGGGUAACGGCCCACCAAGACUACGAUGGAUAGGGGUUCUGAGAGGAAGGUCCCCCACAUUGGAACUGAGACACGGUCCAAACUCCUACGGGAGGCAGCAGUGAGGAAUAUUGGUCAAUGGACGAGAGUCUGAACCAGCCAAGUAGCGUGAAGGAUGACUGCCCUAUGGGUUGUAAACUUCUUUUAUAUGGGAAUAAAGUAUUCCACGUGUGGGAUUUUGUAUGUACCAUAUGAAUAAGGAUCGGCUAACUCCGUGCCAGCAGCCGUGGUAAUACGGAGGAUCCGAGCGUUAUCCGGAUUUAUUGGGUUUAAAGGGAGCGUAGGUGGAUUGUUAAGUCAGUUGUGAAAGUUUGCGGCUCAACCGUAAAAUUGCAGUUGAAACUGGCAGUCUUGAGUACAGUAGAGGUGGGCGGAAUUCGUGGUGUAGCGGUGAAAUGCUUAGAUAUCACGAAGAACUCCGAUUGCGAAGGCAGCUCACUAG
rnacentral:rRNA from 1 species